rnacentral:rRNA from 1 species
GAUCAUGGCUUAGGACGAACGCUGGCGGCGCGCCUAACACAUGCAAGUCGAACGAGCGAGAGAGAGCUUGCUUUCUCGAGCGAGUGGCGAACGGGCGAGUAACGCGUGAGGAACCUGCCUCAAAGAGGGGGACAACAGUUGGAAACGACUGCUAAUACCGCAUAAGCCCACGGCUCGGCAUCGAGCAGAGGGAAAAGGAGCAAUCCGCUUUGAGAUGGCCUCGCGUCCGAUUAG